rnacentral:rRNA from 1 species
GGCGGGGCCUACACAUGCAGUCGAGCGGUAGGGGAUUCGGUUCCUGAGAGCGGCGCACGGGUGCGUAACGCGUAUGCAACCUACCCUUUACAGGGGAAUAGCCCGUCGAAAGGCGGAUUAAUGCCCCAUGGCUCCUUUAAGAGGCAUCUCUUGGAGGGUAAAGAUUCAUCGGUAGAGGAUGGGCAUGCGUGCCAUUAGCUGGAUGGUGGGGUAACGGCCCACCAUGGCGGCGAUGGCUAGGGGUUCUGAGAGGAAGGCCCCCCACACUGGGACUGAGACACGGCCCAGACUCCUACGGGAGGCAGCAGUGAGGAAUAUUGGUCAAUGGGCGGAAGCCUGAACCAGCCAUGCCGCGUGCGGGAAGAAGGCGCUACGCGUCGUAAACCGCUUUUGUCCGGGGGUAACCGCAGGGACGUGUCCCUGCCUGCAAGUACCGGACGAAUAAGGGUCGGCUAACUCCGUGCCAGCAGGCGCGGUAAUACGGAGGACCCGAGCGUUAUCCGGAUUCAUUGGUUUAAAGGGUGCGUAGGCGGCCCGAUAAGUCAGCGCUGAAGGCUCCUGCUCCACAGGAGAGCUGCCGUUGAUACUGCUGGGCUAUAAUCUUAGCUGAUGCGUGCGGUAUGCGCGCGGCAGCGGAGUAACUGCAUAGAUAUCGGGAAGAACACCAGUGGCGAAGGCGGCUCUCUGGCCUAGAACUGACGCUGAAGCGCGAAAGCGUGGGGAGCGAACGGGAUUAGAUACCCCGGUAGUCCACGCUGUAAACGUUGUGUACUAGGUGUUAGUGACUUGUUCACUAGUGCCGACGCUAACGCAUUAAGUACACCGCCUGGGGAGUACGGCCGCAAGGCUUAAACUCAAAGAAAUUGACGGGGGCCCGCACAAGCGGUGGAGCAUGUGGUUUAAUUCGAUGAUACGCGAAGAACCUUACCUGGGCUUGAACUGUGCCUGACGGGUGUAGAGAUACACCCUUCUUCGGACAGGUAUAGAGGUGCUGCAUGGCUGUCGUCAGCUCGUUUCGUGAGAUGUUGGGUUAAGUCCCGCAACGAGCGCAACCCUUACCCCUUGUUGCUAACAGGUGAUGCUGGGCACUCUAGGGGAACUGCCGGUGAUAAACCGGAGGAAGGUGGGGAUGACGUCAAGUCAUCACGGCCCUUAUGUCCAGGGCUACACACGUGUUACAAUGGCCGGUACAAAGAGACGCAAUGCCGCGAGGUGGAGCAAAUCUCAAAAAACCGGUCUCAGUUCGGAUUGGAGUCUGCAACUCGACUCCAUGAAGCUGGAAUCGCUAGUAAUCGUAGAUCAGCACGCUACGGUGAAUACGUUCCCGGGCCUUGUACACACCGCCCGUCACACCAUCUGAGUUGGCGAGCACCCGAAGUGGCUGAUCUAACCGCAAGGAGGAAGGUUACUAAAGGGAAAGGUCCA